rnacentral:rRNA from 1 species
UACGGAGGGUGCAAGCGUUAAUCGGAAUUACUGGGCGUAAAGCGUGCGCAGGCGGUUUGUUAAGUCCGUUGUGAAAGCCCCGAGCUCAACUUGGGAAUUGCAGUGGAUACUGGCAGGCUGGAGUGCGGUAGAGGAAGGUGGAAUUCCCGGUGUAGCAGUGAAAUGCGUAGAGAUCGGGAGGAACACCAGUGGCGAAGGCGGCUCACUGGUCCGGUACUGACGCUGAGGUGCGAAAGCGUGGGGAGCAAACAGG